GUGUAUGUGUGUCUGUGAAUGAGUGAGUGUGUGUCUGUCAGUGCGUGUGUCUGUGUCUGUCAGUGAGUGUGUGCGCCUGUCAGUGUGUGUGUGCGCCUGUCAGUGAGUGUGAGUCUGUCAGUGUGUGUCUGAGUAAUAGUGUGUGUCUGUCAGAGUGUGCCAAAUCAGUGUGUGUUUGUGUAUGUCAUUGUUUGACAGUGUAUAUGAGAG